GCAUCUUCAACGGUUGGAAAGAUUUUUUGGUCAGGGAUGAGCUCGCGGCCUAUCAGCUUGUUGGUGAGGUAAUGGCUCACCAAGGCGUCGACGGGUAGCCGGCCUGAGAGGGUGACCGGCCACACUGGGACUGAGACACGGCCCAGACUCCUACGGGAGGCAGCAGUGGGGAAUAUUGCACAAUGGGCGCAAGCCUGAUGCAGCAACGCCGCGUGAGGGAUGACGGCCUUCGGGUUGUAAACCUCUUUUAGCAGGGAAGAAGCGAAAGUGACGGUACCUGCAGAAAAAGCGCCGGCUAACUACGUGCCAGCAGCCGCGGUAAUACGUAGGGCGCAAGCGUUAUCCGGAAUUAUUGGGCGUAAAGAGCUCGUAGGCGGUUUGUCGCGUCUGCUGUGAAAUCCCGAGGCUCAACUUCGGGUCUGCAGUGGGUACGGGCAGACUAGAGUGCGGUAGGGGAGAUUGGAAUUCCUGGUGUAGCGGUGGAAUGCGCAGAUAUCAGGAGGAACACCGAUGGCGAAGGCAGAUCUCUGGGCCGUAACUGACGCUGAGGAGCGAAAGGGUGGGGAGCAAACAGGCUUAGAUACCCUGGUAGUCCACCCCGUAAACGUUGGGAACUAGUUGUGGGGUCCAUUCCACGGAUUCCGUGACGCAGCU
rnacentral:rRNA from 1 species